CUGCUGGCUUCAGCAGUACAUAUAAAAAAAAAAACGUAACAACACAAUUGAGAAGAUUAGCAUGGUCCCUGAGCAAGGAUGACAUGCAAAUUCUUGACACAUUCCUUAUUUUU
rnacentral:snRNA from 1 species